CCUACGGGAGGCAGCAGUGAGGAAUAUUGGUCAAUGGACGAGAGUCUGAACCAGCCAAGUAGCGUGAAGGAUGACUGCCCUAUGGGUUGUAAACUUCUUUUAUAUGGGAAUAAAAUGUUCCACGUGUGGGAUUUUGUAUGUACCAUAUUAAUAAGGAUCGGCUAACUCCGUGCCAGCAGCCGCGGUAAUACGGAGGGUCCGAGCGUUAUCCGGAUUUAUUGGGUUUAAAGGGAGCGUAGGUGGAUUGUUAAGUCAGUUGUGAAAGUUUGCGGCUCAACCGUAAAAUUGCAGUUGAAACUGGCAGUCUUGAGUACAGUAGAGGUGGGCGGAAUUCGUGGUGUAGCGGUGAAAUGCUUAGAUAUCACGAAGAACUCCGAUUGCGAAGGCAGUUCACUGGACUGCAACUGACACUGAGGCUCGAAAGUGUGGGUAUCAAACAGGAUUAGAUACCCUAGUAGUC
rnacentral:rRNA from 1 species